rnacentral:rRNA from 1 species
UACGUAGGGGGCUAGCGUUGUCCGGAAUCAUUGGGCGUAAAGCGCGUGUAGGCGGUCCGGUAAGUCCGCUGUGAAAGUCGGGGCUCAACCCUCGGAUGCCGGUGGAUACUGUCGGGCUUGAGUACGGAAGAGGCGAGUGGAAUUCCGUGGUGUAGCGGUGAAAUGCGUAGAUAUCGGAAGGAACACCAGUGGCGAAAGCGGACUUCCUGGUCCAGCA